GAUUCCUUGGUUCUCUCUUUGGAUAAAAUCAUUGACUAUAUAUUGAAGGGGUUUAAAGGUCAAUCCAUUCAAGAUUCCUCAGGGGUAGAUAGUUGUUUCUUCAUAGGGUUUUCCCUUGUUCUUGAUGUUGAAUUUGCUUCUCCUGUGCCAGAUUCUUCCAGUAGAUCCCCUGGCACCACGAGUGAUUAAUUCCUCUGUUUUCUAGCUUUCUGAGACCAAGAUCUUCACUGCCUCUAAUGUGUCUUCAGUGCCUCUGCCUGCGGAGAAUGUGACAAUCACUGCUGGUCAGAGGCAAGUGUGUGGUAAAAGUACCUUUUCCUAAAGAGAUCUGCUGAGGUAGCUGCAAGAAAGUGGCACCGCCCUUCACAAGCUCUCUGGUGUUGAGAAUAAUAAUAAUCACACUAGUUCCCUCUUCAGUUGAAUGGAAGUCCAUAUGUUUCCAUUUUAAAGCUGAUUUUCACUUGAAAUAACCCAUAAUUACAUAGAUCAACCUGUGUUGUCACCAGUAUCGACUGAUUGAAAUCUGGUUGGUUCUGGUAGCCUUUUAAUUAUUUGUAUGUAACUUGUCUUGAAGUAAGCCAGGGAAAGAAAAGCCAAGCUGAAAGUGAAAUGCUAUGUCCCCUACUAUUUAAUAGCUUUUUCUCUUGAUUUAUAAUAAUGAUCUUUGUCUGCUGAUCCCACUGAGAAGUUGGUUCCAUAUCCAUGGGUUCUGUGUCCAUGAAUUAAAUCAGCUAUAUAUCUAUAAAACUACUUAAUUUAGAAGGUUCCAAAGAAGUAUGAUAGGAAUCAGUAAGAAUAGGACACUAAAUAUGUAUAUUACACAUGUGCGCGCAUGCCCACACACACACACACACACACAUUUUUUUUUUGUGUGUGUGUGUGUGUGACACCAAAUAUAUUCUUCCACACUAGUGAUGCAGUUCUCCAACCAGGUGUUUAGCAGUGCAGUUCUGACACUGUCCUGGAGUUGGCACAGAUGCUAAUUUCAGGUUCAGUAGUUCAUGAGAAUGACUCAGGAAAGUGUUAAUUAUCGUUAACCUGUUUAUUAUGAAGGUACAAUUCAGGAAUAGCCAAAUAGAAGAAAUCCGUAGAACACAGUAUGUGUGGGUGCGGGCAUAUGAUUUUCCAUGUCCUCUGCAGGUAUCUGGAAGCUUGACAGAUCUCAUUAUUCUAGAGCUAUAAAUUGUAGACAUAAUUGAUUAAAUCAUUGGCCAUUGAUUAUUGGACUUGAUAGCCAAUUUCACUGCCUUGGAAAUGGGUUGGGUUGGGUUGGGAAGGGCUGAAUAUUCCAAUCCUCAGAUUUGGUCUUUCUAGUGACUCAGAUCCACCAUGGGUUCACCACAUUAGUAUAAACUCAGGUAUGGUUGAAACAAGCUUGUUGUGAAUAAGAAAAGACACAGUGAUGUAGGAAAUUUUUUUUUCUUUUUUUUUGGUCAGGAGUGGGAAUCAAUCCAAGACUAGGCACAUGCUGGGCACAUACUAUACCACUGAACUACACCCCCAGCUUCCUGUUUUUAUUAUAUCACUGAUAACUUUUGAAAUUUUAUAAAACUAGGGAAAACACCUCCAAAAGUCUCCAUUUGAAGAUACCAACAUUCUGGUAUAUGAUUCUUAUAUCUUGGAUAUUAUUAAUGACAAGUAUUUAGUAUUACAGUCACGAACAUACUUGUAGAUUUUGGGCCAAGUAUUGAGCUGCUAAUUAAUAUUUGAUAUUUCAUUAAAUUAAUAACUUUCACUAAAAUGAAAGCCAUUAUUAAUGGCACCUGGUGGAAUUUAGCUAAAUAAUGGCUCUCGUGCAUCAUUUAUUUUGGUAAAUUAAGCAUUUCAGGGCUUUAUAUUUUGAGUUCAUUCAAGAGCACAUCAUUAAGUGGCUUUGCUUUAAUCUAACCAUGAUCUGAAUCAGGUGUCAGAAAAUGCUAGAAAAUGUUCAGUCAUUAUUCAUCAAGAUCUUUCUCUCCCACUAGAAUUGACCUUGCUGUUCUCUUGGGGAAGACACCAUCUUCAAUGGAGAAUGAUUCAUCUAAUCUGGAUCCAUCUCAGGCUCCUUCUCUGGCCCAGCCUCUGGUGUUCAGUAAUUCGAAGCAGAGUGCCAUAUCACAGCCUGCUUCAGGGAACACAUUUUCUCAUCAUAGUAUGGUAAGUUUGAUUUAUCUUGAUCAAACCUUCCCACCAAUUCUACCAUGCUUACCCAGACAUUCCUUCUCCCAAAGGCUAAAAUUUUAAGAAUUCAGCUUUAAGGUCUUACUUGGAUUUAUUGUAUUUAUUUGUAGUACUGGGGAGGAGGAUCCAGGGGCACUUUAUACUGAGCUUCCCCAGCCCUUUUUAUUUUUAAUUUGGAGGCAGGGUCUCACUAAGUUGCUGAGUUUGGCUUUGAACUUGUGAUCUUCCAGACAUUGCCUCCCAAGACACUGGGAUACAGAGAGGCACAAAUGUAUUCUGCAAGAGGUUGAUUUUAUAGACAGAGAAGGGCUGAAAAAACAGAAAUAGGAUAAAAAGUCAUUUCAAAAUUACUUUCUUUGUGAGAUAAGACAGGGAGACAGAAAAAUAGAAAAAUAACCAAUUGGUUAGCAUCAGGUUACAUUUUUUGUGUGUGGAUUAAGACCGAGAAACUUUUAUUACUCACCUAUUUGAAAUUCAGCUGUUGGAACCAGCCUGUUUGGGAAAUUUAGCUGUUUUCUCUCCUAAUUUUUCAGAAAGUCAAGAAACAAUGUAAUUUCAGUUGGAGUUGGAACUUUUAUAUGUGUGACUCUUGAUUUUUUAGUCUGAUUGGUUAGAGUCUAGUGUAGAUUAGUCUAAAGCGGUGGUCUUCUGUGUUUAAGUUUCAAAGACAGGAUUUGUAACAAGGUUAGGCAUCCUCUUUGUUCUUUUAAGCAUCUUUGAGUGUGCAGAUGUUGAGUUGGGUACUAGAGGAUAGCUCUAGAACAAGCCUUAGCUUAUAACAAACUGAGUCAUCUUAAAAAUGAGUUAACAUAAUUUAUUGAAUACACAAUCGUGCUGAACAGUUUCUUAUUACUCCUGAAUAGAGAAAAUCAAUGGCAUCAACUUAAUAAAUUUUGACUCUUUCAGGCUGAGGCCGUGGCUUAGUGGUAGAGUGCUUGCCUUGUAUGUGUGAGGCACUGAGUUCCAUCCUCAGCACCACAUUAAAAUAAUUUUUUGACACUUUCACAAUCCUGAUUAAACUUUGGUGAGAGAUUGUAGUAGUUCCCCAUAUCUCUCUCUUUUUUUUUUUUUGUACCAGGGAUUUAAGUCAGGGGCACUCAACCACUGAGUCACAUCCCCAACCAUUUUCGUGUUUUAGAGACAGGGUCUCACUGAAUUGCUAAGUGCCUCACUAAGUUGCUAAGGCUAGCUUUGAAUUCUCGAUACGCCUUCCUCAGCCUCCUGAGCUGCUGGGAUUCCAGGUGCACGCCAUUCCCCACUUUUUGAUGAAGUAAAAUUAAAAUCGCCUUAUGUGGGGUUUUUUUUUUUUUUUUGAGAAUUUUUUUUUUAUAUUUAUUUUUUUAGUUUUCGGCGGACACAACGUCUUUAUUUGUAUGUGGUGCUGAGGAUCGAACCCAGCGCCGCGCGAAUGCCAGGCGAGCGCGCUACCGCUUGAGCCACAUCCCCAGCCCCCCCUUAUGUGUUUUUAUUUUAUUUUUUUUUUUAUUUAUUUAUUUUUUUUAUUUUUAUUUUUUUUUUUUUUUUAAAGAGAGAGUGAGAGGGAGAGAGAGAAUUUUUAAUAUUUAUUUUUUAGUUCUCGGCGGACACAGCAUCUUUGUUGGUAUGUGGUGCUGAGGAUCGAACCCGGGCCGCACGCAUGCCAGGCGAGCGCGCUACCGCUUGAGCCACAUCCCCAGCCACCCUUAUGUGUUUUUAUAAACCAUACAUUUGUAUAUUAGGUUUCUAAAAUCUAGGGUUUUUCCAUAUCACAACUUGUUAGCUGUGUUUCCCCUUGUCUGAAAAUGGGAAUAAGAGUGCUUGUUCUUCCUGUCUUGGGGGGGCCUCAGGAAGAUAAUUAAACUAAUUGAUACCAAUUAUACAAAUGUGGCAAUGGUAGUGGCAUUUUAAAUAACCUAUCAUGCAUAGUACACACAACUUCUUGAUUUACAACAUUUAAAAAAAUAAAGGAAGCCAGAUACAGUUGUGCAUGCUUGUAAUCCCAGGGACUUGGGAGGCUGAGGCAAGAGGAUCACGAGUUCAAAGCUAGCCUCAGCAAAAAGUGAGGCGUUGAACAACUCAGUGAGACCUUGUGUCUAAAUAAAAUACAAAAUCAGGCUGGAGAUGGCUUAGUGGUUGCAUGCCCCUGAGUUCAAUCUCUGGGACAUAAAUAAAUACGUAAGUAAAGGAGGGCUGGGGAAAUAGCUCAGUUGGAGAGUGCUUGCCUCAUAUGCACAAGGCCCUGGGUUCGAUCCUUAGAGCCACAAAAUAUUAUUUUAUUUAUUAUAAUUUAAACAAAGAUAAUUACAAGAACCAAUUAUAGUCAAUAAAUCCUGUUACUCCUUUUUUUAAAAAAAUUUUUUUGUAGUUGGAGAUAGCAUGCUUUUAUUUUAUUGUCAUUUUUAUGUGGUGCUAAGAAUUGAACCCAUUGCCUCACACAUGCUAGGCAGGUGCUCUGCCACUGGGCUACAGCCUCAGCUCCCUAAUUUACUCCUUUUUUUUUCCCUUUCUUUGUUUUUUUGGUGGAGGGUUACUAAGAGUUAUGAGAGGUAAGCAGACCUUUUAUGUGAAGAUAAUUUUAUUUUUCCAGUUUUAUUAAUUAUUUUAAUUUAGAAAACUGUUGAGGUAGCUACUAAUCCAGAACUGUCUCAGUUUUUAACUAUUGUCCUUGAAGUUUUUUUGUUUUAAAAUUUUUUCUUUUGUGUUAAUUCAGAAGUGGAGGUGGUUGUUUUGCCACAAAGGUAACAGGUGAGGAAAAUAUUGGGGUUGGAAAGAAAAUAGAAUGCUGGUGGUAAGGUGUGAUGAAAAUCAGGAAGUGUUACAAAUCCCUAAAAUACAUGACUAGAUCCGUGGUCAAGUGAUGUAUGCCUCUUUUAACUGCCCUCUUAAUGUUUGGAAUUGUGAAUAUGCACGAAAAAAUCAAAAUUUUAAUAUUUUAAAUAUUUUAAAAUUCAUUGUGUCAUAUUCUAUGCAUAGGAUUUCUGUAAAAACUUAUAAAAUUUUAUAGGACACCUACAAAAUUGCCCAAUUUAAGUGGAGGUUUUGUUGUUGAUGCUAGUCCCCCCCCAAAAAAAAUAUUGGAAAUUGAACCUAGGGGUGCUCAGACAUUGAGUUCAUCCCAACCCUUUUUAUAUUUUUUAUUUUGAGACAGGGUCUCACUAAGUUGCUGAGGCUAGCUUUGAACUUGCGGUCCUCCUGCCUCAGUCUCCAGAGUCACUGGGAUUAUAGGUGUGUACUACCAUGCCUGGCUUCAAUAUAAUUUUUUUAAAAUUUUUUUAAUAUUUGCUUUUUGUAGUUGUAGUUGGACACAGUACUUUAUUUAUUUGUUUUUAUGUGGUGCUGAGGAUCGAACCCAGGGCCUUGCACUUGUGAGGCGAGCACUCUACCACUAAGCCACAACCCCAGCCCUCAAUAUUUAAAUUUUUAUAGGAAUAUCAAAAAGAUGUUUUUAGUAAACUUCCAUGUUUCCUUAACAUUCUAUUUAAUGUGUGCCGAUAGGUGAACUAAAUAUAAAUAGUAUUUUGUUAUUCUCAUUACCUUUAUUUAAUCAAUAUUAUUUAAUGUAACUUUUUUCAUUGAGCAUAAUAUUAGAGAAUUGAUUUCCUUUAAUAUUUAUUAGAUCUAGAUAAAGGAGUUUGUAUUAUGUAUAAAAUACAAUGGACAUUAUGUAAUUUUUCUGUCUUUAAUUUUUUGUGCUUGGCAGAAUAUUUUAGUUGCAUUAGAUCAUCUGUGUCACAGUCCCUCACUUUAAACUAGACUUCUCAGAUUAUUUUGUUUUGGUAAUGGGGAUUGAACCCAGGGACGCUUAAAACCAGUGAGCCACAUCCCCAGCCCUCCCCCAAGCCCCCCCUUUUUAAACAAGGUUUUGUUAAGUUGCUUGGGGCAUCAACCUCCUGCGAUACUGAGAUUAUAAGUGUGUGCCAUUGUGCUUGGCUCAAGUUUUUGUUUGAAUAAUCUUGGGAUAUAGCUCAAAGUGGGAAGGAAAAAACCUUACCUUGAGUUGAAUAGACAGGUGUUCUAUAAGAAAGCAUUGCUGAUGAUGACAUGCUACAUUUAAACAAGUACCUGAGUAGGACAAGAUUAAUUCUCCUUGAAGUUUUUUGUUUGUUUAUAUGUUUGUUUUUUGAGGCUAGUCAAGGUCAUGAGGUUGAUCUUUGGACUUGGCUGAUAGUUUUCCUUGGUAAUGGGGAACAGAGAAAUCCCCAAAAGUGUUAGAGUAAAAUUUUGCUUAGUUAUCAUGCAGUGAUUCUAUAAAAAUAAUCAAGCCAUUGAGUUGUCAAUUUUAUCUAGUGCAGAAGUUGGGAUGGCCCUUUAAUUUCUCUUUGCCUAUAAGCUAGUUAUGAGCAGCAUUCAGUUUUUUGUUUCUUUUGGAUUGUUUAGUGGUAGGGGCAAGGAUAUAAUGACAAAAGUAAAAUUUUAUGUCACUUUUGUAUUAAUUUAAUAAUCAAGUAUUAAUUUAUGUAAAAAUCUUGAAGGGGGGGAACUCUCCAGUUAUCAAGGCAUUAUCCCUAAGAUGGAGAAAGUGAUGGUGAUUAUAAGUUUUUAAGGGCUAUCAUCUUUUAAAAAUUUAGAUUUGUUGAAUUAAUAUAUAAAAAAAUAAAAUUAUGCAUAUUAGUGGGGGUUUUAAUAUGUAUUGCUCUAGUUUUCUUGAGCCCUGUGUUCCAUGUACAUGUUAAGUACAGAUAUAUUAUUUGUUAAAUCCUGAUUAAACUUUAUGAAGUGUACUACUACUAUUUAUAUUUUCAGAUGAGGAAACUGAGGCAAAGAGACUUUAAAAUAAAUUUUCUGUGGUUGCAUACCCAGAAUUCGAAUCGGAUUGUCUGACUCUGAAUCUUAAACUCAAUGGACUAUGCUAUAUACUCAGUCUUAUAGCAUUCUGUUUUGAAAUGGGGUGUCAGAGUGUUGCCCAGGUUUUUCUUGAAUUCCUGAAUCUGUGAUCCUCCCAAGUAGCUGGGACUGUAGACAUGUGCCAUGGGCCCGGCUUAGUAGCAUUCUUCAUUUGUUUGAUUCAUACUAGCUUUCAAACUGGAUAAGUGUCUUUCUUUAGCAGACAAGUUCCAGGCUGUAAAUCUCUCUGUUGAUCUCCAGGUGAGCAUGUUAGGAAAAGGAUUUGGUGAUGUCGGUGAAGCUAAAGGUGGCAGUACUACAGGCUCUCAGUUCUUG
rnacentral:lncRNA from 1 species